rnacentral:rRNA from 2 species
UUAUCCGGAAUGAUUGGGCGUAAAGCGUCCGCAGGUGGCAGUUCAAGUCUGCUGUCAAAGACCGGGGCUCAACCUCGGAAAGGCAGUGGAAACUGAACAGCUAGAGUAUGGUAGGGGCAAAGGGAAUUCCUGGUGUAGCGGUGAAAUGCGUAGAGAUCAGGAAGAACAUCGGUGGCGAAGGCGCUUUGCUGGACCAUAACUGACACUCAGGGACGAAAGCUAGGGGAGCGAAUGGGAUUAGAUACCCCAGUAGUCCUAGCCGUAAACGAUGGAUACUAGGUGUUGUCUGUAUCG